rnacentral:rRNA from 1 species
UGGACCUCAGAUCAGGUAGGGAUACCCGCUGAACUUAA